rnacentral:rRNA from 1 species
UACGAAGGGGGCUAGCGUUGCUCGGAAUCACUGGGCGUAAAGCGCACGUAGGCGGAUUGCUAAGUCAGGUGUGAAAUCUCGGGGCUCAACCCCGAAACUGCACUUGAUACUGCCUUGCUCGAGUACUGGAGAGGAGAUUGGAAUUUACGGUGUAGCAGUGAAAUGCGUAGAUAUCGUAAGGAAGACCAGUGGCGAAGGCGAAUCUCUGGACAGUUACUGACACUGAGGCACGAAGGCCAGGGGAGCAAACGGG